rnacentral:rRNA from 1 species
UCUCUAGUGACCGAUAGUGAACAAGUACCGUGAGGGAAAGGUGAAAAGUACCCCGACAAGGGGAGUGAAAUAGUAUCUGAAACCAAAUGCUUACAAGCAGUCGGAGCAAGCAUUUAUGUCUUGUGACGGCGUACCUUUUGUAUAAUGGGUCAGCGACUUAGUUUAUCUAGCAAGCUUAAGCCGUUAGGUGUAGGCGUAGCGAAAGCGAGUCUGAAUAGGGCGACUAUAGUUAGAUGAAUUAGACCCGAAACCGAGUGAUCUAGCCAUGGCCAGGUUGAAAGCGGAGUAAAAUCCGCUGAAGGACCGAACCCACUACUGUUGAAAAAGUAGGGGAUGAGCUGUGGUUAGGGGUGAAAGGCCAAUCAAACUCGGAUAUAGCUGGUUCUCCGCGAAAUCUAUUUAGGUAGAGCGUUAUAGCGGUUACCAUCGGAGGUAGAGCACUGAAUGAGCUAGGGGGUCCCACAGACUUACCAAACUCAAUCAAACUCCGAAUGCCGAUGAGUAUAGCAUAGCAGACAGACUAUGGGUGCUAAGGUCCAUAGUCGAGAGGGAAAAAGCCCAGACCGCCAUCUAAGGUCCCUAAAUCAUGACUAAGUGUUAAAGGAUGUGAGAAGACCAAAACAACUAGGAUGUUGGCUUAGAAGCAGCCAUCAUUUAAAGAAAGCGUAAUAGCUCACUAGUCUAAAUAAGUUUUCUUGCGCCAACAAUGUAACGGGGCUCAAGUCAUGUACCGAAGAUGCGGAUUCACACAUUUGGUGUGAGUGGUAGCGGAGCGUUCCGUAAGCCUGUGAAGGUGAACCGUAAGGUUUGCUGGAGGUAUCGGAAGUGAGAAUGCUGACAUAAGUAGCGAUAAAGAAUGCGAGAAACAUUCUCGCCGAAAGUCCAAGGGUUCUUGCGUAAAGUUAAUCUGCGCAAGGUUAGUCGGCCCCUAAGGUGAGGCUGAAAGGCGUAAUCGAUGGGAAUCAGGUUAAUAUUCCUGAACCUGAAGGAUGUGACGAAAGUAGUAAGUUGUACAGUCUUAUUGGAUUGAUUGUGCAGCGAAUAUUUUCCAGGAAAUAACACCUUCAUUAUAGACCGUACCCGAAACCGACACAGGUGGACAGGUAGAGUAUACCAAGGCGCUUGAGAGAACGAUGCUGAAGGAACUAGGCAAAUUGCAUCUGUAACUUUGGAAGAAAGAUGACCUACAUAUGGGCAACCAUUUGUGGGUGGCACAAGCUAGGGGGUAGCGACUGUUUAUUAAAAACACAGGGCUCUGCAAAGUCAAUAGACGAAGUAUAGGGUCUGACGCCUGCCCAGUGCUGGAAGAUUAAGAGGAGGGGUGCAAGCUCUGAAUUGAAGUCCCAGUGAACGGCGGCCGUAACUAUGACGGUCCUAAGGUAGCGAAAUUCCUUGUCGGGUAAGUUCCGACCCGCACGAAUGGCGUAACGAUUUCCCCGCUGUCUCCAGUAUCGACUCAGCGAA